rnacentral:rRNA from 1 species
UACGGAGGGUGCAAGCGUUGCUCGGAAUUAUUGGGCGUAAAGGGUAGGUAGGUGGUCUCAUUUGUCUGGGGUGAAAGCCUUGAGCUUAACUCAAGAAGUGCCCCAGAAACGGUGAGACUGGAGUCCUGGAGAGGGUCGUGGAAUUCCCGGUGUAGCGGUGAAAUGCGUAGAAAUCGGGAGGAACACCAGAGGCGAAAGCGGCGACCUGGACAGGCACUGACACUCAACUACGAAAGCGUGGGGAGCAAACAGG